rnacentral:rRNA from 1 species
CGCAUCUGUGCAUGCAGCAUAUCAAUAAGCGGAGGAAAAGAAACUAACAAGGAUUCCCCUAGUAACGGCGAGUGAAGCGGGAAGAGCUCAAAUUUGAAAUCUUAAAGGGUUUCCCUUUACGAAUUGUAGUUUAAAGAAGUGUUUUCUGUCGAGGUUUUGGUAAAAGUUCUUUGGAAUAGGACAUCAUAGAGGGUGAGAAUCCCGUAUUUGACCUUUACUUUCAACUUUGUGAUACACUUUCAAAGAGUCGGAUUGUUUGGGAAUGCAGUCCAAAAUGGGUGGUAAAUUUCAUCUAAAGCUAAAUAUUGGCGAGAGACCGAUAGCGAACAAGUACCGUGAGGGAAAGAUGAAAAGAACUUUGAAAAGAGAGUUAAACAGUACGUGAAAUUGUCAAAAGGGAAGCGUUUGACACCUGUGUUGUUUUUCUGAAAAUCAAUUAAAGAACUGUUUAUGCUAAGUUGUUUAGACUUUAUCAGCUAACUGUUUAGUUUUGAGCUUUUCUUUAAUGCACUUUUCAGUUAACAAGUCAACAUCAAUUUCUUUUGCUGUAAAAAAGCUUGAGGAAGGUGGCUUGAGAUUCGUCUUAAGUGUUUAUAGCCUCUUGCCUAUGCAGUCGGAGAGAUUGAGGUCUGCAGCGUAGAUCCUUCGGGGCUAAAUGCAUUUGUGCUAAGUUAUAACAUUUUAUAGACAACUUGUUGACUAUGAUUUGUCUUGUAGCUUACUCGCUUAUGUUAUUUUACCUACGCUUAGGAUGUUGAACGCGCACAGAGUCUC